rnacentral:rRNA from 1 species
AUUGAACGCUGGCGGCAUGCCUUACACAUGCAAGUCGAACGGUAACAGGUUAAGCUGACGAGUGGCGAACGGGUGAGUAAUAUAUCGGAACGUGCCCAGUCGUGGGGGAUAACGUAGCGAAAGCUACGCUAAUACCGCAUACGAUCUACGGAUGACAGCGGGGGAUCGCAAGACCGCGCGCGAUUGGAGCGGCCGAUAUCAGAUUAGGAUGUUGGUGAGGUAAAAGCUCACCAAGCCUGCUAUCUGUAGCUGGUCUGAGAGGACAACCAGCCGCACUGGGACUGGGACUCGGUCCAGACUCCUACGGGAGGCAGCAGUGGGGAAUUUUGGACAAUGGACGGAAGUCUGAUCCGUCAAUGCCGCGGGGAGGACGAAGGCCUUCGGGUUGUAAACUGCUUUUGUACGGAACGAAACGGUGAGCUCUAAUACAGUUUGCUAAUGACGGUACCGUAAGAAUAAGCACCGGCUAACUACGUGCCAGCAGCCGCCGCCG